UUUCUGACAUACCAAUUUUGGGUUCACUGGUUUCUUAUCCACCACUCCUCCUAUUUACGAGGCAUGAUCCUUGUGUUUGAUCACAGUCCUUGCGUUAUAUCAGAAGGAGUCCCAUCCUCUGCUCAGGAAGUGCUGUAUAGCAUCCUCAUCAGGAGUCAGGACCUGUUGUUGCACCAACAGCAUCACUGGGGCAAUAUGGUUGAGGGUACCAAUUCAUGAGCCAGUCCUAGCAGCUCUUGGUACAGGACCCAAGAGGGAGAAGAAGGAGAUGGCUGGGAUGGGUCCUAGGGUCACAGAAGAUAACUAGGAAACUGCUGGACAAGUUUGGGCUUUUUACUAAGGUGCAUGAGGCAAAGCAAAAAUAUAUGAUGAACUGAGCUGAGGUCAUAUCUAUUCAGCGUACAUUGAUUGUGCUUCAGCAAGAGGUGUCGGGGAUGAGUUAAAUGACCUCUUGAGGUUCCUUCCAGCCCUGUAUUUCCAUGAUGAAGUGCACAAUAAAUUGUAACCCUUGUUUGUCUUCACUUGUUCCAUCCUUUUAUUUGUCAUCCUUUUCUUGUGUCAAGUCUAUAAUUCAAUGACAAAUUUUGGAAGCAGGAACCUUGCUGUCUUCAUGUUCUGUAAAGUGCCUUGCAUGUUUUGGGGGGCCAUAAAUAACAAUUCCAGUACAUGCCCAUAUGUUGUAUUGUAAUGAUAUUUGGGCUGGAAUCAUUUCCUGAAAGGUGACGGGAGCCUUUUACUUAGUUUCUUCAGGUAGUUUUGAAACAGAACAAUAGCUCAAACAAUUUAUAAAGCUCUACACUUGAUUCUUUUAGAACAAACAUGCUAAUAUUCUGAUCCAUUUAAUAUGACUGAAGAAAUAGAGUGAUGUGGGAAAUCUCAAAUUGUUGAGUUUCCAAACUGUUUGGGCUAGACUGGGCAAUCCUUACUCAGAAGUUGUCCCAUUGAAACCAGUGAAAGUCCUCAUGUAAGCAAAUAACUACCCAGGAGAUUAAGGUUACACAUUGUGGUCCAUGGUGAUAGAGGCCUGAACAUUCAGGCACUCAAGCCUAAAAUUGCAUAUAUUUUGUGCCUUCCCGAUAAGAGCAUGAAAAUCCCUGAUGUGCAUGAACUAGUGAAUGUAUAUGUGCAAUUUUGAUUUGCAUAUGUAUAUUGGAACUGUGUGC